CAGAGACAGACGUGCCGGCUGCAGCUCCUUCGGCUUCCGGCCUUCUUCUUCUCGGGUCGUGGCGGUGACGGGGAGAUUGGGGGUUUCCACCUCGCGUGGCGGCGGCAGGAGAUCGGGGGAUUGAUGUGUUAGAAAGCAAGGAACAGCAGCCUGCUUCGGCAUUCAUGGACCUGACUUCUGACAAGAUGGAGGCGAUGGAGGGGACUGUCCUUGCAGGGAAAAUGGGAAACUGUAUUUGCAAGAAUACCUGAGUUGAACAUCUAUACAACUGUCGAUGGUUUGAACUAUAACAAAGCAAUGCCACAGAAAGACCUUUCAUCAGAAUUAGAAUGAGCUUGAAACCACUUUAUUAAAUAUUACCACGUUUUCAUUUGCAAAUAUGACAACUAAUAGAUGUUAAAAUGGCAUGAAGGCUCAA